CAAGGCAAAAAGUGCAGAAUCAGGAAAUGAGUCAAUAACAAGAUCAGAAGAGUCAACUCCCUGUGUGCCUUCAGGUAGCUGACCACUUUAG